CCUCAAUGGGACGGGCUCUUGUGCUGCCCUGCAAGGACAGCACACCAGGCUGUGUGUCCCUGCCCACACUGAGGGGACAGUGCCCGUGCUGGGGGACAGACAGUGCCCUGCACAAAAUGCUGCAGGGUUCAGCAAAAUGGUGAUGUGGAAAGCCAGCAACAGCAUUUUGUCUUACUACCUCCUUCAUGUAUCAGCAGCAUUGAAUAAGGUAAUUGCUUCCCCAGCUGAAGCUUCUCUGAAGAACCAUGAUAAAGAAGUUAUAUAUGAAGAUUUAAUCUGGGAGAAAAACACUCGUACUCUCAAUCACAGCCCAUGGAGCCCAGGUGAAAAAGCACUGACUGAGGUAUUUACAUGGCCCUCCUUCCCACAGUACCUGAAUACCCACCUCACCAUGGAUUUGUUUUUACUGCAACAAUGUGAAUAAGAAGAGCACUGGUUUUUCUCAUUCCUACCUACCCAAAGAGCAGAGAUAUCAAGUAAAAAUUCUAAAACCAGACAGAAAUCAAAGAUUAUCUGCCCAAAUCCAUCCUUAUGAAUCUACUUAAAGUAAAGAAAUCCAGUAACUCUUUUUUUCACACUAUCCACGGGCAGGACUCUCAGCCACAUUUAUCCUUUGCAGCAGUGAUUUGAUCUGCUAGAUCCUUAUUUACAGGUUAUUAUUUGUUCAGCUUUGAGAUCUGGCUUUGCAACAUUUCAGAGUGUAAGAGAAGACGGGCAAGUGGUGAAUUUUAGGGGCAAAAAUGAGGUAAGAGAAGUCACUUAUAGCAGUAAAAAGGCUGUCUCAUUCAGAGAUUUUAGGUUUGGUGCUAAGUUAAAAAAAAAUAAAAAAAUCUUUGCUCACA
rnacentral:lncRNA from 1 species